rnacentral:lncRNA from 1 species
CACGCUGUGCGCCAAAAAGCCGGGCGGCUUCGGAGCCAGAGCAGCGGCUCUGCGGCGCAGGCGGCGGGUCGGGGCAGCCUUGAAGCCGGGAUCCGGCCCGAAGGGUGAGCACCAGCUCGUCUCCGGUGGGCGCCGCCUUCAAUGUCAAGUUCCAGGGCAGUCGCUUGGACCCGUUUGGCGAGGUCUUUUUGGAGUUCCUGAGCUCAGUGCCCCAGAAGGAUUUCAUACUGCACAAGAAAAAGCCUUGAGAAAGACAGAAUUGCUUGUGGACCGUGCGUGUUCCACCCCACCUGGGCCCCAGACCGUGCUGAUCCUUGAUGAGCUCUCGGAUUCCUUGUGCAGAGUGACCGACUUGGCUGAUUUUGUGAAAAUCGCUCACCCUGAGCCAGCAUUCAGGGAAGUCGCAGAAGAAGCUUGUAGAAGUAUUGGCACCAUGGUAGAGAA